AUUUAAUUCAGAGAAAGUUGUUUCUUAAAAGUAUCUGUAAAGUGCUCAUUUCUGCCUCAAAGCAUGGGUCAGCCAGCGAGUUCGACGGUGGCGUAGUUUGUGAUCAAGGUGAAGCUGUAACAACCCCAAGAUCUUACAACUAACAUUAAAGCCAACUUCAUGCCAUCA